rnacentral:rRNA from 1 species
CUUUUACAAUGAAGAGUUUGAUCCUGGCUCAGGAUGAACGCUAGCUACAGGCUUAACACAUGCAAGUCGAGGGGCAGCAUUUCAGUUUGCUUGCAAACUGGAGAUGGCGACCGGCGCACGGGUGAGUAACACGUAUCCAACCUGCCGAUAACUCGGGGAUAGCCUUUCGAAAGAAAGAUUAAUACCCGAUGGUAUAAUCAGACCGCAUGGUCUUGUUAUUAAAGAAUUUCGGUUAUCGAUGGGGAUGCGUUCCAUUAGGCAGUUGGUGAGGUAACGGCUCACCAAACCUUCGAUGGAUAGGGGUUCUGAGAGGAAGGUCCCCCACAUUGGAACUGAGACACGGUCCAAACUCCUACGGGAGNUGGCGACCGGCGCACGGGUGAGUAACACGUAUCCAACCUGCCGAUAACUCGGGGAUAGCCUUUCGAAAGAAAGAUUAAUACCCGAUGGCAUAAUUAGACCGCAUGGUCUUAUUAUUAAAGAAUUUCGGUUAUCGAUGGGGAUGCGUUCCAUUAGGCAGUUGGUGAGGUAACGGCUCACCAAACCUUCGAUGGAUAGGGGUUCUGAGAGGAAGGUCCCCCACAUUGGAACUGAGACACGGUCCAAACUCCUACGGGAGGCAGCAGUGAGGAAUAUUGGUCAAUGGGCGCAGGCCUGAACCAGCCAAGUAGCGUGAAGGAUGACUGCCCUAUGGGUUGUAAACUUCUUUUAUAUGGGAAUAAAGUUUUCCACGUGUGGAAUUUUGUAUGUACCAUAUGAAUAAGGAUCGGCUAACUCCGUGCCAGCAGCCGCGGUAAUACGGAGGAUCCGAGCGUUAUCCGGAUUUAUUGGGUUUAAAGGGAGCGUAGGUGGACAGUUAAGUCAGUUGUGAAAGUUUGCGGCUCAACCGUAAAAUUGCAGUUGAUACUGGCUGUCUUGAGUACAGUAGAGGUGGGCGGAAUUCGUGGUGUAGCGGUGAAAUGCUUAGAUAUCACGAAGAACUCCGAUUGCGAAGGCAGCUCACUGGACUGCAACUGACACUGAUGCUCGAAAGUGUGGGUAUCAAACAGGAUUAGAUACCCUGGUAGUCCACACAGUAAACGAUGAAUACUCGCUGUUUGCGAUAUACAGUAAGCGGCCAAGCGAAAGCAUUAAGUAUUCCACCUGGGGAGUACGCCGGCAACGGUGAAACUCAAAGGAAUUGACGGGGGCCCGCACAAGCGGAGGAACAUGUGGUUUAAUUCGAUGAUACGCGAGGAACCUUACCCGGGCUUAAAUUGCAUUUGAAUAAUCUGGAAACAGGUUAGCCGCAAGGCAAAUGUGAAGGUGCUGCAUGGUUGUCGUCAGCUCGUGCCGUGAGGUGUCGGCUUAAGUGCCAUAACGAGCGCAACCCUUAUCUUUAGUUACUAACAGGUCAUGCUGAGGACUCUAGAGAGACUGCCGUCGUAAGAUGUGAGGAAGGUGGGGAUGACGUCAAAUCAGCACGGCCCUUACGUCCGGGGCUACACACGUGUUACAAUGGGGGGUACAGAAGGCAGCUACCUGGUGACAGGAUGCUAAUCCCAAAAGCCUCUCUCAGUUCGGAUCGAAGUCUGCAACCCGACUUCGUGAAGCUGGAUUCGCUAGUAAUCGCGCAUCAGCCAUGGCGCGGUGAAUACGUUCCCGGGCCUUGUACACACCGCCCGUCAAGCCAUGAAAGCCGGGGGUACCUGAAGUACGUAACCGCAAGGAGCGUCCUAGGGUAAAACUGGUAAUUGGGGCUAAGUCGUAACAAGGUAGCCGUACCGGAAGGUGCGGCUGGAACACCUCCUUUCU